rnacentral:rRNA from 1 species
AUUUCAUUUUUAGCCGGAAUACUAAACUAGUUACCGUCCACAGUGGAAUCAGCGACUGGGGUGAAGUCGUAACAAGGUAACCGUAGGAGAACCUGCGGUUGGAUCACCUCCUUUCUAG